rnacentral:lncRNA from 1 species
GGCCGGGACUUGUCUCUUGCUACUGAGAGGUGAAACACUGCUCUAAAACUCCUACUAGUGAAAGAGAAAGCCAAAAGGACAGAUUACACUGCAUGUGGAUUUUCCUUGCGGAUUCUGAACUAGCCGCAUCUGCGUUUAAGUGAGGAUCUAUACAGCCUCUCAUUUUCCCGUGUUUUUCUUGAGACUCGGAAGAUGGCAAAAAGACUACUAUUACUCUGCUCAAUGC